UUGUGGUUCGUCGAGUUCAUGUAGGCCCUCAGACUUCCAAAGUGCCAUUUUCGCCAAUGAAUCUGCUGCUCUGUUCCCUUCUCUCUAGAUAUGAUUUACUUCUCGAACUCAUCCCUCUUUUAUUAAUUUUUUCAAUCGUUAAGGAUAAUAUCCCUUUGCAUGUUCUCGCUUUCUUCCUUCUUCAGAUAAUCGAUCGCCUAUUUCGCAUCAGAUUCCAAGAUGAGAUUUCUCAGACCGAUUUGUUUGGCGAUGAGUAGACCCUGUCGAAUGCCCCAAAUCUCCGCCAUUUCGCUGCUAGUAUUUCCAAUAUUCAACAUGAACCCACGGAGCCAUAUGCCGUUUUUAUCUCUAAUCAGACAUCCUGCAGCGGCCAUUCUAGAUCUGGAGAUGCAUGCUCCAUCAGUGUUUAACGUCCAGUAGCCAGAGAGGGGUUUUCUCCAAUGGAUCCACUUCGAUUCUCUGGUUUGUAGGCACUGAGCUCGUGGCACUUGGGAGCGUGUCGCCAGAUUGUCAGAUUCUAUAUACCAGCGGUAGUAGAGUGUCUUGAUUAUUAUAGUGAGAAUGUAUUAUCGUAGACUCUUUUUUAUUCGAGUCAUAACUCGUGGAUUCUUGUAUUUUAUAAAUAUUUUUAGAGUUCCCGUUAGUAAAUUUUACUA